GGGAGGAAGGAUGUCUGUGUUGAUGGAGUCUGUAAGCGUCUGGGCUGUGACAACAUGCUGGAAUCCCCCCAGCAGGAUGACCCCUGUCUGCAGUGUGGGGGCAACGGACAGUCCUGCUACCCCGUCAGGAGCACCUUCAGCAUGACCAACCUGCCCAAAGGCUAUAACCAGGUG